rnacentral:rRNA from 1 species
GGGGUUGUAGGACACUCUAUACGGAGUUACAAAAGAAAGUUAUAAAUGAAGCGGUCUGGAAAGGCCCGCCAAAGACGGUAACAGCCCGGUAGUUGAAAUAGCUUUCCCUCCAGAGUGGAUCCUGAGUACGGCGGAACACGUGAAAUUCCGUCGGAAUCCGGGAGGACCAUCUCCCAAGGCUAAAUACUCCCUAGUGACCGAUAGUGAACCAGUACCGUGAGGGAAAGGUGAAAAGCACCCCGGAAGGGGAGUGAAACAGUUCCUGAAACCGUGUGCCUACAAGUAGUUAGAGCCCGUUAAUGGGUGAUAGCGUGCCUUUUGUAGAAUGAACCGGCGAGUUACGAUUUGUUGCAAGGUUAAGCGGAAAAAGCGGAGCCGUAGCGAAAGCGAGUCUGAAUAGGGCGCAUAAGUAACAGGUCGUAGACCCGAAACCAGGUGAUCUACCCAUGUCCAGGAUGAAGGUAAGGUAAUACUUACUGGAGGUCCGAACCCACGCACGUUGAAAAGUGCGGGGAUGAGGUGUGGGUAGCGGAGAAAUUCCAAUCGAACUUGGAGAUAGCUGGUUCUCUCCGAAAUAGCUUUAGGGCUAGCCUCGAGGUAAAGAGUCAUGGAGGUAGAGCACUGUUUGGACUAGGGGCCCUUCUCGGGUUACCGAAUUCAGAUAAACUCCGAAUGCCAUGUACUUAUACUCGGGAGUCAGACUGCGAGUGAUAAGAUCCGUAGUCGAAAGGGAAACAGCCCAGACCACCAGUUAAGGUCCCCAAAUAUAUGUUAAGUGGAAAAGGAUGUGGGGUUGCUUAGACAACCAGGAUGUUGGCUUAGAAGCAGCCACCAUUGAAAGAGUGCGUAAUAGCUCACUGGUCGAGUGACCCCGCGCCGAAAAUGUACCGGGGCUAAACAUAUUACCGAAACUGUGGAUGAACCUCUUUAGAGGUUCGUGGUAGGAGAGCGUUCUAAGGGCGGUGAAGUCAGACCGGAAGGACUGGUGGAGCGCUUAGAAGUGAGAAUGCCGGUAUGAGUAGCGAAAGAAGGGUGAGAAUCCCUUCCACCGAAUAUCUAAGGUUUCCUGAGGAAGGCUCGUCCGCUCAGGGUUAGUCGGGACCUAAGCCGAGGCCGAUAGGCGUAGGCGAUGGACAACAGGUAGAGAUUCCUGUACCAGUGCUAAUUGUUUAACCGAUGGGGUGACACAGAAGGAUAGGGAAUCGCACGAAUGGAAAUGUGCGUCCAAGCAGUGAGUGUGAGAAGUAGGCAAAUCCG